UGGAAUGCAUGAACUUAACCACUUGGCCACGGGGCCGGUCCCUGGUUAUUUCAAUUUUUUACUGUUACCCAACAUACCAUUUGCAAAUGAAAGAUCCAGUUACAAUAUAUGAAUAGGUUGAUAAGUUAAAAAAGGUGUUUUCUUUCGAGCCGAAUAGCUGCAUUUGCAGGGAUCCUGGACAGGAAGCUGCAUGCCUCUUCAGUGACGUUACAGCCCCGUGCCUGCCCUCUUCUUCACUCAGACCUCAAAAGAAAAGCCCGUGAUGGAUAGGCAGCGGGAAAGUGGCAUCCGGCCCCCAGGAUGCCGACCUCAUCGGAAGCACCAGUUUUAUUAACUACCGCAGGUUCUCCCAGGACGUGAAGGCAAAGACAGCUAACAUUUCAUUUCAUUCAAGGCCACACACAUGGGGACCGUUCAUCUCUCCAGCUUUCAACAGGCCCUCACCCUCCCACUCGGGACAGCCACUCAUCACCCUCUGAAAUAAGUGUCCACCCUGAGCAAAGGGCCUCGCUUCCAGUUGCUUGCUUCCUAAGAAUUCACUGAAGGGAAACUCUAGGAGCAGAUAGUUACAUUCAUCAAGGUAGAGGAAACCCCGCAGAAAGCUGGUUUAAGCCCUGGUGCCCGAGAAGCCUGCCCUCAACUGUUGCCUCUUCCAGUUGGCUGAUGGUUCUGAGUCCCUUCUGUGGCUUUUCUAUUCGGGCUGGAACUCCUGACUUCUUUGCUCUUACCCAAGAGCAUCUGGCUAAAUGAAGUUAAAAAGCUCUGCUCACGAGCCUCUAUGGCCUGCUUUGUAUUAUUAAAGAAUGGGCUCUAAGACUGGUGAAGUCUAAAUAUAUUCUAAUAUGAGAGGCGGCUUUGAAACGGGCACUCGGACAAAGAGAUCUGAGCCCCCCGGAGGAAGGUGCCUGUUAGUGCCUCCAUGGGAGAGAGGCAACCUCACAGCAAACAGAUCUGACUGCGUAAAAGCCUCCUCCUCACAGACCAGCAAGCCUCGAGGAAUUCCAAUCACCAAAUGCAUUCAACGCCACUCUUCACCCAGGCCCCUCCAAGAAACAGGAGGCAAGAAUGAGGAUCUCUGCUUAAUGACAGCACCACUCUGUGGCCAACCGACUGGCCUGCCCAGGACCACCCUCAGAAUCAGCAGCUGAACCAGAUCGAGGUGACCAUGACCUUCUGACAGAUAGCUCUGCAACAUCCAGAGCCCCAGCUCCUCUCAAUGCUCAUUUCCUCCACCAGGGCGCAGACACAGAGCAGAAGCAGGCUCCAAGCGCAUCUCACUUAACAGACAUUUAUUGAGGACCUACUAUGUGCUUGUCCCAGGCUCUGGGGAUAUGAAGAUAAGCAAAUCAGGGGGCCUUGCCUUGAGGAGCCCACCAUCCAGGCCAUGAACCAGAAACUGAGCUUUGCCCUGCAAAUAGCGCACUUAAAAAAACGAAUAAUUGCAUGAGAAAGCUACCGAGAAAAUAAUGCCACAGACAUUAUUAAUUUCCCAUUGGCCAAAGACUUUAAUCGAAACUAGUAUGUGAAGAGAGGACAGUCUUUGAUUCAUAAUUAAUUUAAAACUUUGGAAUUGGGGUACACUUUACGCACUAGUCUGGCACACAGCAGCCCCAUGACCUGGCUCCAGCAUCGUCUGAUGGCACCGAGGCAGCAGUACUGUAGUAUGUGAUUUGCCUAUUGGUGUACUGGGCUGCCUGACACCUUUUCCCAGAGCGACACUGACACGUGUCAGUUUAAACACGUUGACAUAGCCAUCUCCUUGGCUCAUUUGGCAGAAUUCCUGCCACUGCACAUAGAGAAGGGGAGGGCAGCACGGACUAAGCGGCCGUUGGGAGAGGUACUUGCAGGGCAUCAUUGGAGACAAUUCUUUAUUCUUGCACCUCUGUGUGUUCAGUUUCAAACACAUCACCCAGCAACUAUAAUUCAGUGUUUCCUCCUUCACUAAUAUGAUUUUUGGAUAUGCUGACCUAAAACAUUCAAAGUAGGGUGGAGAAAAUGGCAAAUAGCAAUUUCUCAGGAAUAUAUAUGGUUCCCAAUGCUCACAAAACUUAGGAUCGCUCAUUAAAAGUGGUGGAAGUGGUCCACUCAGUGUCACAAAUUCAUGACAUUUCUGAAAGCAAUCCUAGAACCUUAGAACCUGAGAAGGUCCCUAGAAAGGAGUCUAGAACCUUUUUGUCAAGUCCCAGCAUUUUACAGCUGAGAAAUCUAAGGCGCUGAGAAGACUGCCUCUUGCUGGUGUUAGUGCCUGUUGGGGCCUGACCUGAAGCCCGAGCCAGGCAUGCAGGCAUGAACGGUGAGGAUGGUUAUGGCUUCAUGGAUUAAUUACACUGUUCAAUCAACAGAUGAGGGAAGGAGCCCAUCUCAAGACCCUAGGGUCAGAGUUUUAAAAUUUCACAUCAGUCACAUUUAAAUAAACAAACCGCCAAAAAAAUAUAUAUCUGAAGAUUGGUGCUCAUUUUGAUGAACUACUCAUAGAAAAGGAUGAAAUGCAUGCUUGAGGUAUCCCUUUCUCAUAUGUCCAUAGAUAUUUCCUAUGAAAGGAGUGCCAGGCAAGAAAGUAAAGAUGCCCAACUUUGCUUUACAUGGUUUCAGAUUCACUGCUUCAGUGUCAAAUAAUGUGACACCUGCUCAACAGCAGGCAUCAGCUUUUCGAGCCAGGUACUAUGGGGGAGGGGGCUCCAAAGAUGGAUUCAACCCAGACCUGCCCUGGGGCCUAAACCUGCUUGCAAAGAAUCUUUAUGUACCUGAAGUCAUCUUCAAGAGAAGUGGUGACAGCAACCUUUCCUCAGAGGAAGGAAGGGGGAGAUGAAGGUUUAGAAGUUAAAAGAGGGAAGAUGAGGGAUGUCAUCCUGAUGACCUUCAUUUCCCAGGGACGCAGGAAGCAAGGUCACCUGCUAGAGGUGAGAGGAAGCAGGCGGAGGAAGGAACCUGAGCACAGUGGCAAAAUUCUGGACUUGCCAUUGUGGAAGAAACAAAGGAAACUGAGUAAGGACAAAUAGAAUAAUUGCCGGGCAGCACCAAGGACCCAGAUGAAGUGAGAAAAACAGCUAUAAGGAGUUAUAACAAUGCAGAUCAGGUCUUUAUUUCUCUCACAAGGCCCCCCAAUUAGCAUCCAGGAUGGAAAAAAUGAUUGCGGUUGAAAAGCUGGGACCUGGAUAAAAUCAGGAAGAGAAGAGCCAAGAGACAGCUUCUGGACUCUGGAAGUGGGAAGACUCUAGAGACUCAAAGCCUGAUUGGGUCUGAAAGCAAAGUUAUGACAACGAGGGCACUGAAGAAGUGAGAAGAUUGGGAAUUUCAUAAUUCUAGAUUUUGGAGGGGAACAACUCUAUCAUAAGUGACAGGAGGCGGCAGUUGGAAACCACGAGGUGAGACUACCAUGAGGGUCAUCAUCAUGGAGGCUGAUGUGGUCCAGGACGCCAGGGUUGAGAGGCACAUUAUGAGCCAAGGGCCCGAAUGCUAUUUGGAUUGAGGGAGCAAACUAGAGGUCAAGGAAUGACCUUGAUAAAGAAGGGAAUGGCUGGACCACAGGUAUCACGCCAGUGUUGGCUGAAAAUGACCUAAGAGAACUGUGAACGCUAUGCUGAACUUGAGGCUGAGCCAUAAUUUAACUGUCAAAAAAUGACCAAGCUUCAUAAAUAUAAAGAAAAUCUAAUAAAAAUGAGGCAUGAAUCAGGUUUUAUUUCAUGGCUAUCUCUAGUUUGGGCUCCAUGGCUUAAGAAAAGCCAAUAGGACUAGAUUUUUAGAAAAUUAUAUUAUUGUUAAAAUACAUAUGAUCCUAUUGAGAGCUAAAACGAAGAGCUUGGCAAAAGCAGAUUAAGUGCCUGCUGAGUCCCUGGGCUGGCUGGAAGCUGAGCUGAGCCAUGGUCUUUGUCCUGACCCCCAGUGCCUGGCUCUGCGCACACCAGAAUAUCCCAGAUCCAGUCACAGCAAAAAGCUAGAAAAACUUCAGAAAAGAAGCGUGCAGGAAAGCCAAGUAAUAGGAUGCCAAUAUGUGAAGGGACUUGGGACAUCUAUUCCCUGAGGACAAAAUGAAAGGAUGUGGGUUUACAUCUCAAAGGGAGGGACUUUACACUUAAACACAAAGAACAACUUUCUGACUAGAAGACCUGAGAUGAGCUACGCAAAGAGGAAGCCAAAACUUCUGCCCUGGAAUUUCCUUUUUGCUUAGUCCUGUGAUUUUCUGAGUCCUAAGAGUUUCCCUAUUUGGACAAUUGACAGGUCUGAGAAUCACUGAAGUCCUGCCCCCCUCCAGGACUCCCUGGCAGGUUCUUCCUCCUCCUCAUGUGUCUUCACCCAUAUGGUCCCCAUAUGGUCUCAGCCUGGUACCAUCAUCUUAUCAGUGCCUCCCAGGCUCCCCACCCUGCCUGUUCUAUAUCACAGUGCUGCUUAUUUUUCAAAGAAUUCGUGUUUAACUUACAGGGUGAAUUCUCAUCCCCUCACAACUCAUAUGUUGAAGUCUUAACCCCCAGUUACCAAAGACUGUGACUGUAUUUGAAGAUCAGGCCUUUGAAGAGGUGAUUAAGUUAAUGGGGCCAUUAGGGUGCGCCCUAAUCCAAUAUGGCUGCUGACCUUAUAGGGAGAGGCAAUUUGGACGCAUAACGAGACACCAAGGAUGUGCGCCCACAGAGGGAAGAAAAGCCAAAGCGAGAGGCCUCGGGAGAAAUCAAAUCUGCUGACAUCUUGAUCUUGGACUUCUAGCCUCCAGAACUGUGAGAAAAUAAAUUUCCAUUGUUUAGGUCGCCCAAUUUGUGGUAUUUUGUUACAGCAGCACCAGAGACUAAUACAGAUUAUAUGCAUUAUUUUUUGCUUACUUGUUUAUUGUCUUUCCCUCCCAUUAGAAUAUAAUCUUCAUGAAGGCAAGCCCUUGUCUGUCUUUUUUUUUCUUUCUUUCUUUUGUCCUUGUCUGUCUUACUCCCCACUGUAUCUUAAGCACCUAGACCUGUGCCUGGGAAACCACAGGCACUGAAUGAAUGAAUUAAAUAAUGAAAGUCCGAUUGAAGCAAAGAUAAUGAGGUCAAGAUAGGUCUUAGCCAGCAAGAGGCCUUCUGGAAUUUGAACUGAAACUACUGUUUCCAGCAGAAUGAAAGAAUGGAUUUUUCCUCUGGUUUCAGAUAAAACACUGGAAGAACAUGAGGUGCUACCAGUCAAAGCAUUAGAGCGAGUCCUUGGGGCCUUACACUAGAAGCUGAUGCUAAUGUCUGCAUCCUGAGGACAAAUCCCUUCCCUUGAAUGAAGAUUCUAGAUCUCAGAACACUUCUAUUGUUUCACAGAAUUAUCAUAUAUUAACCAUUCCUCAGAACAAUAGCAUAGUAUAUUUUCCAAGCCUCACAAAAAGGUCAAGGUCAAGGUCAAGUAGCAGCAGUCUCUUUGACUGAGCUCCUGAAGUUGUUGGGAUGCAAGAGGAAACCAAGAUGCCAUGUUACAAACUCAAAGAAGCCAACGGUGAAGCCAUCCAAAUCUCAAAACUCGAGCCACUGGCUAAUCUUUAAGUAGAGUUUGACUGAGUUCAUUUCUAUCCUCUUCAGAUUGUCAGCACCACCUACACCCUCAUCCGUCUCUGGGCGAAUAUUCUCCACCUUGGCUACUCUUACAGGAUUGACAUAAGGAUAAAAUACGAAAGGAAAUCGCAAAGCACUCAACGAAUGUGAGAUACAGGAGGAGGAGGAGGAGCCACAGAAGGGGUGUGGCUAACACCCUAACACCCAACAGAAAUGACCCGGCAGGAUGCCCAAACCUGGGCUCUCAUCCAGUUCUCCCUCCUGACACAGCAGGAGGGGGCUUUCGGUCCUCAUUUUCCUCAGUCUUGGGAAAUAUACUGUAAAUGAGAAUUUUUAAAUCUUGAGAGUUGAAAAGAAGCCUAGGUAAUCAGGCCCAACUUCCCCUCUUCAAUCUGCCUAUCACCUGUGUGUCUAAAAUGGUCUUCAGGACUUUCCAUGACUAAGUAGUUCUACCAGAAACCAACACAUUUCCCCACCUUCAGAGGUAAACUUCUAUAAAUGUGUCAUGCAACUGGGUGAUGGUGGAGUUACCAAGCCAGGCGCUGCCCUGGGAAUACAAGUGAAUUAAUUCACAGAUACCUAAGAAAGGCAAUGGUCUUCAGUCCCCUGAGGGAAGCACUAUGUUGACACAGGGAAAGAAGAGUAAGGGUACUGCACAUUUCACAUCAACUGAGUCCUACCAAUAAUAAACAUCGUCAGGGCUCAGAAGGGUGAGGAAAGGAAGUCUUCCUCUGGCUAGGAUGAUCAGAGCACAAAGAAUGGCACGGUAGGAUUCAUGGAGGGCCUUUGCUAGAGAUUUCUGCCAUGUGUGGAAGCAUUGGCCACAGCUUUCCACGGCUUGAAUUCUAAGAGGCCAUUUGAUCAAGCCCUCUCUGCAACUCUACCCCAGCCUACCGUUCACCCCUCAGAAUGCUCUGAACAGCUUCCUGUAAUGAAAGCUCAUUACAAUUUCAGAGCAUCAGUGGACCCUAUGGAACUCAUCCCAGAGACCCCAAGUCAAAACGUUUAGGUUCUAUAAGAGAGACAUGCAAUCUGGUCAGACCAUAGCCAGUGUCUUCUCUCCCAGACCUCUUUCUCCCUAGGUGUUAGAAGUAUCAAAAUGUCGUCAUUUACACUGAAAUCAGAUCAGCCUGUAAAAUAGGACCAGCCCAGGUCACAGGAGGUCAAGCAGCUUAGAAUUCCCUGCCCCUCUUUUCUCUUCCCUUUGACUACGGUUUGCUUGGACAUCUGUAGAUACAUAUGUGGAUUCUGAAAGUCAUUAACCACAAGGAGAUGCUUCAAUUCUCCCAGUCUAUCAGGAAGUAAUAAAGGGACAUUGCUGAGUGGGGUAGAAAAUGGUAUUAGAAACAGAGCAGGGCCAGGCCAUGCGCUACAGCAGACAGAGAACAUGGCGGCUUUCCAUAACCCAAAGGAUGUCAAAGAGAGUCUGACAGUCUGUGGAAGAGCAAGCCUGCUUUAUCCCAUCACUGGAAGUCCAGACGAGACAAUACAAUCUAGAUAAAAGAAGGAAGGGGGUGCAUCCCAGCUUUCACUGACUAGGGAAAAAACAUAGAUUGGGUCAACAUCAAAGUCACUCGCCAGGCAAAGUCCUCAAACAAAUGUGGUGAUUUCUCUCACUGAUCUCACAGUUCUAUGCGCAUCAGAGUAAAAACAUUCAGAAUUUAACACCAUCUCUGGCACGUAGAAGUUAAUUAGAAAGUACUAGAUGAUCCUGUAUGGCUACACUUUUCACAUUC